AUGGUGGCGACGCCAUGGGCGCCACCGCCGUCUCCUCCUCCCCCUCCUCUCCCCGCUCCCGCCGCCGCCUCCCACAUGGCCGUCACGCAGGCGCUCGCGGACGCGCUGCGCUCAUGCGGGGCCCGCGGCGCGCUCUCCGGCGCGCGCGCGCUGCACGGCCGCCUCGUCAGCGUGGGCCUCGCGUCCGCCGUCUUCCUCCAGAACACGCUCCUCCACGCCUACCUCUCCUGCGGAGCCCUCCCCGACGCCCGAAGCCUGCUGCGCGGCGAGAUCAACGAGCCCAACGUCAUCACCCACAACAUAAUGAUGAACGGGUACGCGAAGCUGGGCAGCCUGAGCGAUGCGGUGGAGCUGUUCGGCAGAAUGCCCAGGAGAGAUGUCACCUCCUGGAACACCCUCAUGUCCGGCUACUUCCAGAGCGGCCAGUUCAUGGAUGCCCUGGAGACCUUCAUGUCCAUGCACCGAAGCGGGGACUCCUUGCCAAACGCCUUCACUUUCGGCUGCACCAUGAAGUCCUGCGGCGCUCUCGGGUGGCAGGAAGUGGCGCCGCAGCUGCUUGGGUUGUUAACCAAGUUUGGUUUCGAGGACGACCCUGACGUUGCGACUGCCAUUGUUGACAUGUUCGUGAGAUGUGGGGCUGUGGAUUUUGCUUCGAAGCAGUUCAGUCAGAUUAAAAGGCCAACUAUUUUUUGCCGGAACAGUAUGCUAGCGGGCUAUGCCAAGUCAUACGGUGUUGAUCAUGCUCUUGAGCUUUUCGAGAGCAUGCCUGAACGAGAUGUUGUUUCAUGGAACAUGAUGGUAUCCGCAUUGUCUCAGAGUGGGCGAGCCAGAGAAGCCCUCUGUAUGGCUGUAGACAUGCACAAUAGAGGUGUGCGUCUUGAUUCAACAACAUACACUAGUUCUCUGACUGCAUGUGCUAAAUUGUCUUCAUUAGGAUGGGGUAAGCAACUCCAUGCUCAGGUGAUUCGGAGCCUACCGCACAUUGACCCAUACGUUGCCAGUGCUAUGGUUGAACUAUAUGCAAAAUGUGGCUGUUUUAAGGAAGCAAGGAGAGUGUUCAGUUCCUUACGCGAUCGGAACACUGUGGCAUGGACAGUUCUUAUUGGGGGAUUCUUGCAGUAUGGUUGCUUCAGUGAAUCUCUCGAACUGUUCAAUCAGAUGAGAGCCGAGCUGAUGACAGUUGAUCAGUUUGCACUGGCAACUAUAAUAAGUGGCUGCUCCAACAGGAUGGAUAUGUGUCUUGUGAGGCAGCUGCAUUCUCUUUCUCUGAAAAGUGGUCACACCCGAGCUGUUGUCAUCUCUAAUUCCCUUAUCUCUAUGUAUGCAAAAUGUGGCAAUCUCCAGAAUGCUGAAUCUAUAUUCACUUCGAUGGCCGAAAGGGACAUUGUAUCAUGGACUGGCAUGCUUACUGCAUAUUCUCAAGUGGGGAACAUAGGGAAAGCUCGUGAGUUCUUUGAUGGCAUGUCCACAAGGAAUGUAAUUACAUGGAAUGCAAUGUUGGGGGCAUACAUACAACAUGGAGCUGAGGAAGAUGGCCUCAAGAUGUAUAGUGCUAUGCUAACUGAGAAGGAUGUCAUACCUGACUGGGUUACUUAUGUUACAUUGUUCAGAGGGUGUGCGGAUAUGGGUGCAAAUAAACUUGGAGAUCAAAUUAUUGGUCAUACUGUAAAGGUUGGUCUCAUCUUAGACACCUCAGUCGUGAAUGCGGUUAUCACAAUGUACUCCAAAUGCGGAAGGAUAUCAGAAGCUCGAAAAAUAUUUGAGUUUCUAAGUCGGAAGGAUUUGGUUUCUUGGAAUGCCAUGAUCACCGGUUAUUCACAGCACGGCAUGGGGAAGCAAGCUAUAGAGAUAUUUGAUGAUAUGCUGAAGAAAGGGGCAAAACCUGACUACAUAAGCUAUGUUGCAGUUCUGUCAAGCUGCAGCCAUUCUGGACUCGUGCAGGAGGGAAAGUUUUAUUUCGAUAUGUUGAAGAGGGACCACAACGUAUCUCCAGGGUUGGAGCAUUUCUCGUGCAUGGUGGACCUUCUAGCCCGUGCAGGGAAUUUGAUCGAAGCCAAGAAUCUCAUCGACGAGAUGCCCAUGAAACCAACCGCUGAGGUUUGGGGGGCUCUUCUUAGCGCCUGCAAGACACAUGGCAACAACGACCUCGCAGAAUUGGCAGCUAAGCACUUGUUCGACCUGGACUCGCCUGAUUCUGGAGGCUACAUGCUUCUGGCAAAGAUCUAUGCUGAUGCUGGCAAAUCAGAUGAUUCCGCACAAGUCAGGAAGCUAAUGCGAGACAAAGGGAUAAAGAAAAAUCCCGGCUACAGCUGGAUGGAAGUUAAGAACAAAGUUCACGUCUUCAAAGCAGAAGACGUGAGCCACCCUCAGGUGAUCGCGAUUCGGGAGAAGCUGGAUGAACUCAUGGAGAAGAUCGCGCACCUCGGAUACGUGAGGACCGAGUCCCUGCGGUCUGAGAUCCAUCACAGCGAGAAGCUGGCCGUGGCUUUUGGGAUCAUGAACUUGCCUGCCUGGAUGCCCAUCCACAUAAUGAAGAACCUGCGCAUUUGCGGUGACUGCCACACGGUGAUCAAGUUGAUAUCGACGGUGACUGGUCGGGAGUUUGUGAUUCGAGACGCCGUUCGAUUUCACCACUUCAAAGGUGGUUCCUGCUCUUGCGGGGAUUACUGGUGA
rnacentral:rRNA from 1 species